rnacentral:rRNA from 1 species
UACGGAGGGGGCUAGCGUUGUUCGGAAUUACUGGGCGUAAAGCGCGCGUAGGCGGACCUGCAAGUCGGGGGUGAAAGCCCGAGGCUCAACCUCGGAACUGCCUUCGAUACUGCGGGUCUCGAGUCCGGGAGAGGUGAGUGGAAUUCCUAGUGUAGAGGUGAAAUUCGUAGAUAUUAGGAAGAACACCAGUGGCGAAGGCGGCUCACUGGCCCGGUACUGACGCUGAGGCGCGAAAGUUAGGGUAGCAAACAGG